CAUGCAUCAGCUCUUGAGAUUGACUUCUCGCCAUGGGUAGAAUAAUAUACAGUUACAGUGCCAAAAUUUACGGGGCUUGAUAAAGGACCAUACGUAAUACGCAUGUAUUGUAUUAUAUAACAAACUUGCCAUACUUUUUGAAAGGAUUCAGCUCCUGAAUUUAAGAAGCUUGCUACACAAAUGUAAAUUUCAGACUUGUUCUUUGUCGUCGACUCUGUUAUAUGUAUAUUAAUGGAAUUAUGUGCGAAGCAAUGUGAAGUAAAAUUGAAGUCAACCAAUGCCGAACGAUUAGCAAACUUUAUGGACUUAAAAGAUGAGAAACUCUUGUACUUGGAAAAUAGAGAUUUAGCUGUUUCCGAUAAAAGAUAAGUGCAGAGAUAUAUGUAGCCCAUGAAUACUACUCUUGUAGCCUAUACAUACAUAUGUAUAUGUGAUAUGUAAGAUUACUCACAUUUUGGCCGAUAUAUGGGGUACAAAGUCAACCGGAAGUUUGAAAUCUUUUCAUUAUAACAUGUUCCGACCAAAAAUUUAAAAUAAAAAAUAUUGUAUUAACUUUAA